UGCCUGACAACUCAGUCACCAGCUUGGAAUUGAAAUCUAUUAUUGUGACUAAUCUGAGCCAGAAGCAGCAUUCAGAAGUUCAACAGUAACAACAAGCCCCAGUUUUACAUUCCAGAAAAUCUAAGCAUCACGGAAGAAAGGCAGAAGUUACCCGUGGAAGUACAGAAAGGAUGACCGAACCCAUUCUGAACUGUCAAACAGGCAAGCAAAAAGUCACUUAAGAGAAAGUAAACUCAGCUGCUUUAAAAAUCACCAGAAAGUCAAGCAAAAUCUAAGUAAAAGUGAAAGCUCACUAAGUUUUCCAUUGUUUUCCUGCCUGCGCAAACACAGUGAGCAAACCUCUACCGCCGUGUGCCAGCUCGGUGCCGUCCAGCGAAUUCAUCCUGAAUACAUCUGCUGAGCCAUAAGCAGAACAUACAAGCACAAUUUCUGAGUGAACUAGCUUGAGAAAGUGUAAUAGAACUACAUAAAUGCCUACAUGGAAGAGAUCGUGUAUAAAAGCUGUAUAAAUUAAAGGGAUCGGUUGGAAGACAGCAUGGAGAAAAGUUUAUUGAACAAAUAUGGGACUUUGUGAACAAGGAAGAUGUUUUUUUCAGAAGAAAAUAUUUCCCUCUUAACUAGAGCAGAACUAGAUAUCUGUUAUGCAAAAUAAAGAAGAUUGUUUUCUGUUAGAAACAAGGCAAUGUUGACCGAGUGCUGAGGAGCCAUCAGGGCAAAUAAAGAAAUCUGCUGGGAACUGCAGACAUGCAAGGACCGGUACACUUGAGCUGGACGGACUUAAUCUUGGGCAACAAAAGAUGGUGGUAUCUUACUUCUGCUUAUGCAAAAUGUUUUAAACGUGACAUAAAUUAACACAAAUAACUGAAACGUCUGUAAACUAAAGUGGGCUGCACUUCCAUACCGUUUUUUUUUCUUAUGAAAGCCAGCACUGGCUCUGAGUUUAAUGAGAAUUAACUCCAUCCUCACACUAACAUUUCCAUUACUGUUUUAGAAAAGCAAAAGUAAAGUUCUGCUGCGACAAUAUUUACUUUAUACUAGUGUGUUUAUGUUUAAAUCAUACAUCUUCUUUUGCAUCUCCUUCUAUGGUCAAGCUUUCUUCAAUCCUAACAGAAAUAGUUAUUAGAGUCAUUACGUUAUGUUUUAUUUACAGUACUAACAUUUUAAAAUUGUGUGCCAAAAAUAAUUUGGUCUUAUCUUUCACUUGGGAUUCAGCUGAAUUCUCUUCAACCCAUAUCCUGCUGAGUUCUAUCCUGAUAAUACAGCUUAUGUUUAUCGGAUACUAGGAAAUAAAUGUUGCCUUUUAAAAGGCGUGCUGCUGUUGUCUGCAUAAUUUCUUUUCACUCGCUGAAGAUCACAUGUAUUUUCCUUCUUCUCUGUAAACUACUUCCUCUGGUUCGACUCUGUUAUUACUUUCCUCGUGUGUGGAAAAACUGUCAAAUUGCUGAAACGUUUCAGAAACAGAAAAACUGGGGACUGAGAGAGUCACAGUUUCUGAAGUGCCAGCUCCAUUGCAGAACAGUCGUGGUCUCUGUCGUGAUCUGCUCCACAAUUUUGCUGCGUGGGUGGGUGUGAUUUUUUUUCCCUUUGUGUUCCCUGACUCACAGAGCAUUUGAUAAAGUGUGUGGAGAAAGAAGAGAAGCGAGGGCGCAGACCAGCCAUUAAAGCUGUACUCGUACUGCAAUGAAAUGCAAGUUCUUCCAUAAGAAAUAUGUCCCGAGCAAAGCAGAAGGGUCAAGACCCAGCCAUCCACAAAACCCCAUGCCUACACGCUGGAUUGUGAAAAUCGCUUUGUGAGAAAUGUGUUGUGGGCAGCAGCGGCCAGCAGUGCUGGGGGGUCCACAGGGAGAACGCUGUGUUUAACAUCCUGGCAGAUAUAUCACCUCUUUUCUUAGCUUUUUCUUACCUCAUUUAAACAAUUUAUAUUAUGGCUUAUCAUACUCCAAUAGCGGCGUAACGAUGCGAUAAUGUGAAAUGGACCACUACCAGUACGAUUUGUUUGCCUGAAGAAACGUCAAACUCCCAGAAAAUGCAAUAUAAUAAUCUAAUACUGUAAUAUAAGGAUAAUA